rnacentral:rRNA from 1 species
UACGUAGGCAGCGAGCGUUGUUCGGAGUUACUGGGCGUAAAGAGCUCGUAGGCGGUCUGUCGCGUCUGGUGUGAAAUCCCAUGGCUCAACUGUGGGCUUGCAUCGGGUACGGGCAGACUAGAGUGCUGUAGGGGAGACUGGAAUUCCUGGUGUAGCGGUGAAAUGCGCAGAUAUCAGGAGGAACACCGGAUGGCGAAGGCAGGUCUCUGGGCAUUAACUGACGCUGAGGAGCGAAAGCCAUGGGGAGCGAACAGG